UGGUCAAAUAUUGCUUCCAUUAAUUGGUCACUGUAGGGUGGAAAUGCUUGAAAUGAUCCACCAAUUGGAAAGAAAUUCAACAUGGAUCUAAACGAUAAGAAACAAGCCAUUAGAUUCUUUUCAUAUGGAAAACAUAAAGCGCAAAUACGAUGGAUUGCAUGCAUCAAAACAGCUGAUAAAAUUUGCCGCCAAUUUAACAAUUUAUGGAAAGAGGAAAUAUUCAUGCAUAGAACGAUGUAAAUAGAAACGAGAAAAUAUAUGACAAAUUCUGAAUUUA